rnacentral:rRNA from 1 species
CAGGUGGUGCAUGGUUGUCGUCAGCUCGUGUCGUGAGAUGUUGGGUUAAGUCCCGCAACGAGCGCAACCCUUGUCUUUAGUUGCCAUCAUUAAGUUGGGCACUCUAGAGAGACUGCCAGGGAUAACCUGGAGGAAGGUGGGGAGGACGUCAAAUCAUCAUGCCCCUUAUGCUUAGGGCUACACACGUGCUACAAUGGGUAGUACAGAGGGUUGCCAAGCCGUAAGG